rnacentral:rRNA from 1 species
UACGGGGGGAGCAAGCGUUGUUCGGAUUUACUGGGCGUAAAGGGCGCGUAGGCGGUCACUACAAGUCAGUUGUGAAAUCUCUGGGCUUAACUCAGAACGGUCAACUGAUACUGUUGGACUAGAGUGCAGAAGGGGCAAUCGGAAUUCUUGGUGUAGCGGUGAAAUGCGUAGAUAUCAAGAGGAACACCUGAGGUGAAGACGGGUUGCUGGGCUGACACUGACGCUGAGGCGCGAAAGCCAGGGGAGCAAACGGG